rnacentral:rRNA from 1 species
UACGUAGGGUGCAAGCGUUAAUCGGAAUUACUGGGCGUAAAGCGUGCGCAGGCGGUUAUGUAAGACAGGUGGGAAAUCCCAGGGCUUAACCUUGGAACUGCAUUUGUGACUGCAUAGCUAGAGUACGGUAGAGGGGGAUGGAAUUCCGCGUGUAGCAGUGAAAUGCGUAGAUAUGCGGAGGAACACCGAUGGCGAAGGCAAUCCCCUGGACCUGUACUGACGCUCAUGCACGAAAGCGUGGGGAGCAAACAGG